rnacentral:ncRNA from 1 species
GGUAAAUCGUUGAAAAAGAAAAGUACUAUAAAAAAUGUUUUUUAGAGAUAGUAUGGCUGGUGAAAAUACUAAUCAUGUUUAUAGGAAAGCUACUUUGGAGAGUAAUUAAAAAUUACCGUUUAAGCUGCGUUAUAAGCUAAUAAAGGGCAUGAGUAUUCAUGAAUUAGGAUGGUACCGCGAUUUAAGUCGUUCCUAGU